UUGCGUGUAAUUUAUUUUGCUCCGUCUCAUGUCUCUGUCUCUUAAAUCUCCAUACUUUUACCGAAGUGUGCACUAGUACACUUCGGUACUAGCACACUUGAUAGUGUAGUUUCAAAUCUGCAGCUACUGUAGUCUGUUGUUCAACAACUUUGUGUUUGUCUGUCUUAGUCAGGGCAGUUCAUCCCAUGUGUCCCGGUGGGCCUAAGAUGGGAGUGGAGGAGACAAGAUGACCAUGACUGUCAUAGUCAGUACAACCGUCUUCUGACUGUUGUUGACGUUAGAGGAAGAGCUCAUGACAUCAGCCCCAAACAGCAAUUUCAGUGGACCUCCUGCAGCUGGAGUGUGAGGUGUCUUUGAGUGGGAUUACCUUGGCUUUCGAUAAAUCCAAUGCAUGCUGGAAGACAGUUGAGCUCUACCGGAAGCUCACAAGUGAGUAAUUUGAGGAGUUCAAACACUGGCAGUUUGAAUGACAGACUGUCAGGAAGUUGCCGCCACUGACAUCGGACGGAACAAAGUGUCCUCUCUGUCCACAGGUUCAGGAACUUCGGCGGAUGCUCGUGCCUGCACGCCAUCCCAAACACACCAGUUAUGUCCAGUUUCUGGGAUUUGGAUCGCAGUGCAUCCCCGGCUUGAAAUCCCCAAUGGAAGGAACAAUGAUCCUGCAGUAACAGGAAAUGUUCAUUUUUAUGUGGAUAAUAAUAAAUUGACAUUUCUGUC